ACUGGCCAUCCCACCCUGAACAUGCCUGAUUUCAGAAGCUAGGCAGGACCAGACCUGGUUAGUACUUGGAUGGAAGAGAAAGACAGAGCUGGAUCCCAAGAGAAAUGAAAGGAACUUACAGUC
rnacentral:rRNA from 1 species